rnacentral:hammerhead_ribozyme from 1 species
AUCCAGUUGACAAGUCCCAAAUGGGACGAAACGCGCGUCCGUGAU